rnacentral:rRNA from 1 species
AUUGAACGCUGGCGGCAGGCUUAACACAUGCAAGUCGAGCGGAGCGAGGGUGCUUGCACCUUAGCUUAGCGGCGGACGGGUGAGUAAUGCUUAGGAAUCUGCCUAUUAGUGGGGGACAACAUUCCGAAAGGAAUGCUAAUACCGCAUACGCCCUACGGGGGAAAGCAGGGGAUCUUCGGACCUUGCGCUAAUAGAUGAGCCUAAGUCGGAUUAGCUAGUUGGUGGGGUAAAGGCCUACCAAGGCGACGAUCUGUAGCGGGUCUGAGAGGGUGAUCCGCCAAGCUGGGACUGAGACACGGCCCAGACUCCUACGGGAGGCAGCAGUGGGGAAUAUUGGACAAUGGGCGGAAGCCUGAUCCAGCCAUGCCGCGUGUGUGAAGAAGGCCUUUUGGUUGUAAAGCACUUUAAGCGAGGAGGAGGCUACUUAGAUUAAUACUCUGGGAUAGUGGACGUUACUCGCAGAAUAAGCACCGGCUAACUCUGUGCCAGCCGCCGCCGUAA